rnacentral:rRNA from 1 species
GGGUUGUGAGGUUAAGCGACUAAGCGUACACGGUGGAUGCCCUGGCAGUCAGAGGCGAUGAAGGACGUGCUAAUCUGCGAAAAGCGUCGGUAAGGUGAUAUGAACCGUUAUAACCGGCGAUGUCCGAAUGGGGAAACCCAGUGCAAUUCGUUGCACUAUCGUUAACUGAAUACAUAGGUUAACGAGGCGAACCGGGGGAACUGAAACAUCUAAGUACCCCGAGGAAAAGAAAUCAACCGAGAUUCCCCCAGUAGCGGCGAGCGAACGGGGAGCAGCCCAGAGUCUGAAUCAGCUUGUGUGUUAGUGGAACGGUCUGGAAAGUCCGACGGUACAGGGUGAUAGUCCCGUACACCAAAAUGCACAGGCUGUGAACUCGAAGAGUAGGGCGGGACACGUGGUAUCCUGUCUGAAUAUGGGGGGACCAUCCUCCAAGGCUAAAUACUCCUGACUGACCGAUAGUGAACCAGUACCGUGAGGGAAAGGCGAAAAGAACCCCGGCGAGGGGAGUGAAAAAGAACCUGAAACCGUGUACGUACAAGCAGUGGGAGCACCUUCGGGUGUGACUGCGUACCUUUUGUAUAAUGGGUCAGCGACUUAUAUUCUGUAGCAAGGUUAACCGUAUAGGGGAGCCGCAGGGAAACCGAGUCUUAACUGGGCGUUAAGUUGCAGGGUAUAGACCCGAAACCCGGUGAUCUAGCCAUGGGCAGGUUGAAGGUUGGGUAACACUAACUGGAGGACCGAACCGACUAAUGUUGAAAAAUUAGCGGAUGACUUGUGGCUGGGGGUGAAAGGCCAAUCAAACCGGGAGAUAGCUGGUUCUCCCCGAAAGCUAUUUAGGUAGCGCCUCGUGAACUCAUCUUCGGGGGUAGAGCACUGUUUCGGCUAGGGGGUCAUCCCGACUUACCAACCCGAUGCAAACUACGAAUACCGAAGAAUGUUAUCACGGGAGACACACGGCGGGUGCUAACGUCCGUCGUGAAGAGGGAAACAACCCAGACCGCCAGCUAAGGUCCCAAAGUCAUGGUUAAGUGGGAAACGAUGUGGGAAGGCACAGACAGCCAGGAUGUUGGCUUAGAAGCAGCCAUCAUUUAAAGAAAGCGUAAUAGCUCACUGGUCGAGUCGGCCUGCGCGGAAGAUGUAACGGGGCUAAACCAUGCACCGAAGCUGCGGCAGCGACACUAUGUGUUGUUGGGUAGGGGAGCGUUCUGUAAGCCUGCGAAGGUGUGCUGUGAGGCAUGCUGGAGGUAUCAGAAGUGCGAAUGCUGACAUAAGUAACGAUAAAGCGGGUGAAAAGCCCGCUCGCCGGAAGACCAAGGGUUCCUGUCCAACGUUAAUCGGGGCAGGGUGAGUCGACCCCUAAGGCGAGGCCGAAAGGCGUAGUCGAUGGGAAACAGGUUAAUAUUCCUGUACUUGGUGUUACUGCGAAGGGGGGACGGAGAAGGCUAUGUUAGCCGGGCGACGGUUGUCCCGGUUUAAGCAUGUAGGCUGGUUGUCCAGGCAAAUCCGGAUAAUCAAGGCUGAGGUGUGAUGACGAGGCACUACGGUGCUGAAGUAACAAAUGCCCUGCUUCCAGGAAAAGCCUCUAAGCAUCAGGUAACAUCAAAUCGUACCCCAAACCGACACAGGUGGUCAGGUAGAGAAUACCAAGGCGCUUGAGAGAACUCGGGUGAAGGAACUAGGCAAAAUGGUGCCGUAACUUCGGGAGAAGGCACGCUGGUGUGUAGGUGAAGUCCCUGCGGAUGGAGCUGAGACCAGUCGAAGAUACCAGCUGGCUGCAACUGUUUAUUAAAAACACAGCACUGUGCAAACACGAAAGUGGACGUAUACGGUGUGACGCCUGCCCGGUGCCGGAAGGUUAAUUGAUGGGGUUAUCCGUAAGGAGAAGCUCUUGAUCGAAGCCCCGGUAAACGGCGGCCGUAACUAUAACGGUCCUAAGGUAGCGAAAUUCCUUGUCGGGUAAGUUCCGACCUGCACGAAUGGCGUAAUGAUGGCCAGGCUGUCUCCACCCGAGACUCAGUGAAAUUGAACUCGCUGUGAAGAUGCAGUGUACCCGCGGCAAGACGGAAAGACCCCGUGAACCUUUACUAUAGCUUGACACUGAACAUUGAGCCUUGAUGUGUAGGAUAGGUGGGAGGCUUUGAAGCGUGGACGCCAGUCUGCGUGGAGCCAACCUUGAAAUACCACCCUUUAAUGUUUGAUGUUCUAACGUUGGCCCCUUACCGGGGUUGCGGACAGUGUCUGGUGGGUAGUUUGACUGGGGCGGUCUCCUCCCAAAGCGUAACGGAGGAGCACGAAGGUUAGCUAAUCCUGGUCGGACAUCAGGAGGUUAGUGCAAUGGCAUAAGCUAGCUUGACUGCGAGCGUGACGGCGCGAGCAGGUGCGAAAGCAGGUCAUAGUGAUCCGGUGGUUCUGAAUGGAAGGGCCAUCGCUCAACGGAUAAAAGGUACUCCGGGGAUAACAGGCUGAUACCGCCCAAGAGUUCAUAUCGACGGCGGUGUUUGGCACCUCGAUGUCGGCUCAUCACAUCCUGGGGCUGAAGUAGGUCCCAAGGGUAUGGCUGUUCGCCAUUUAAAGUGGUACGCGAGCUGGGUUUAGAACGUCGUGAGACAGUUCGGUCCCUAUCUGCCGUGGGCGCUGGAGAAUUGAGGGGGGCUGCUCCUAGUACGAGAGGACCGGAGUGGACGCAUCACUGGUGUUCGGGUUGUCAUGCCAAUGGCACUGCCCGGUAGCUAAAUGCGGAAGAGAUAAGUGCUGAAAGCAUCUAAGCACGAAACUUGCCCCGAGAUGAGUUCUCCCUGAGACUUUAAGUCUCCUGAAGGAACGUUGAAGACGACGACGUUGAUAGGCCGGGUGUGUAAGCGCAGCGAUGCGUUGAGCUAACCGGUACUAAUGAACCGUGAGGCUUAACCUUACAACGCCGAAG